CCAGAAAAACAUGAACCACGUCAGAAAAUCGUUGGUUGGGUGAACCCGUAAAUUGUCCAUAAUAUCUUGCCCCGAGUAAUUGAAAACCGACUUUCUGUUUGCUUUGUUUUCCUUCACAGGAGCUGCCGAUACAAAGGCCUGGCGGGGGAGAAAUCUCAAGCCACCGGUGACAUCAAGAUCAAGCUUUCCCCAGGAAUACAUGAAGCUGAGAUGGAAGGAAGGCUGCAUAAGAUAGGACUUUAAUUGAUCCUCAGCUGUAUGGUGGUUGGAUGGCAGGCAGUCGACAGGUAUGUAGAGGCAGCUGAUGUAAACUUGUUAGUACAUGGGAAAGAAUGCUCUAGGGCAGUGCUCUUCAACCUAUGCUGCCCUCCCCCUCUAUUGUAGAUAUUAGAAAAGCUGUCCAGCCCUGAUGGUCACCAGUUUUCUUUGAUAAAAUCUUAAGUUAUUAAUCUUUUCUUGAGGAUGGAUAAUAGACAUUAGAUUCCCUUUUCUUUAGCUACCAUCUCACCAAGCAGGCCAUGUGAUUUCUUAUCCUUACUUGUAUUUGCUUGUGGUCCCAUUUUACAAGACAUUGAGCACAGAUUCCACUUUCUUAACCAUAUGAUGUUUUCUUUUUCCCCCAACAAGUAUUGCUUUCCAUCAAAUCUCUCCCACCCUGAGGCAGCCACCCACCCACCCAGGUUGAAGAAGUGUAGGUUAGCAGGGAACAGAGACAAGCUUUAAGUUGAUGGUGUAGUACGGUGAAGUUGCAUUCGACGACUAAUUGGGGUAGGCCGUGGCCGAGUGGUUAACGUGGGGGCGCUGCACUCACUGCGUGCUGGACACUCUACCACCUGGAAUGUUUCAGUCACUGCUGAGUGGCCUAAGACUACCCAUAUGCUGUCCUGAAGACCACCCAUCAACCUGGACUUUAAAAGAAACCAUCCAUGAAGAAAGCCUACCUGCGCGAACAUAAAAAAAAAAUGCAUAAAAAAAUUUAAAAAUCAAGGUGCUCCACUGACUCUGCCAGCCAUCACAAAUCUCCAACAAGUCGUCAUCGGUGUUGCUGUACCCACCAAAGCAACCUGGAUGGAGAGCUGCCUUAUACCCAGCGAAGAGACGAAACCGCUGUCAGUCAUACUUCAGAACUGUCAGAGAUAAACGAUUGUUAAAUCAGAAAAUUCAGCUCUAAAAUGUUCUUUAUAGCUACUGCCUGUACUCUACUUACCAUUGUAUGGGAGUUUUUCUCCGGGGACUAUUUUAGAUAUUUUCAACUAUAGUUGGUUGACCCAAGUCUGAAGUGAGCAUUAUCGCGCAACCUGCAGCCACACGGCGUGUCCGAUUUUGUGGAUACUGUAUGCUUGCCUACGCAUAGUAAACAAUUAUCAGUGUCAAUAAUAUGCAGGCAGCAAUAACAAAUUCCGUCUAUUGUAGUUGAUUACGAGAAAAAAAUAUUAGUAAGGUCACAAAUAGCUGUUUUGUUAUAUACAAGAUCGCUGAUUAUGAUUAUUAAACAGCCUUGAAGCUGUCCACCACCAAGAAAAUUAGAAGGCUUUAUAUUUAUAAAAUGGCUGUUUGCAACAUUACUAAUAUUUUUUUUAACUCAAAAUUGUCUAUAAUUGACAGCAUUUGUUAUUGCUGCCUGCAUAUUAUUGACACUGAUGAUUGUUUACCAUACGUAUGCUAGCAUACAGUAUCCACGAAAUUGGACAUGCCGUGUGGCUGCACGUUGCACGAUAAUGCUCACUUCAGACUCGGGUGAACUGACUAUAGACAAUUUUUAUUUUUAAACCUUCAGAAACACCUACUACAGCACUUUUUGCUGCAUACUGAAAGUAAUCAGAUGCCUUAGCAAAGCAAUUGUUGACUCAAGCAGAUUACGACAGCUGCCUUAAGAGAAAUAGUCAGGAUAAUUUGGUGUUAUGUAUCAUUACCUUACAGUAAAGAUUUGCUGUAAAAGUAAUUUAUUUUGCCCAAUCUUAAACAUCUAAAUUUAUAUCUCCUCAGCCCUGUUCCCUAACUGGAACUGCCCUCCAGAGGGUGGCCACAGCAGAAGUGUCUGCAUAUCUCCCUGUUCUUGCACUCCCUCUCAGCGUACACAAUCCUGGUACUUUAAUCUCUCUCACUCCAAUACUCACUCACCCUACUGAUCCACUUAACAAGUGAUCCUCCCCUAAAAUCCCUUCUCUCAAACACUUUUCUCAGUUUCAUUCAUUCAUUCUCAUCAUGUGUCCAGACUAUCUCAGCGUGCCAAGCUUCACCCAUUUGACCACUCCACAAUCUACCCCCUUCACUGUCACACCCAUACACGCUGUCAUUACUUUCUCCAUCCCAUUCUGAAACACCACAUGCACCUCUUACAUAACUCAUUUCCACUGUGCUUGUUCUUGAUGGCUGUGCUGCAUUCCAUGUCCAUGUCUCAGACUCGUAAUUGAGUUGGCAGCAUAAUGCUGUUCCUCAUUCCCCUCUUUAUCCUCAUGCUCACACUUCCUCUCAUAACUCCAAUGCACCUACUAACUGUCUGCCCUUCACUUCUCUUUCCCUCACCUCACCUUCCAUACUUCCAUGCUUACAUAAAAUUGUCCCUAAAUAUUUAAACUUGGUCACCUUCUCCAUUCCCUCUUCCCUCGGCUUUAUCCUACAAUUCGUUGUGCUCCCUGC